UUUAUCCUUUCAAUUUGUAGUUGUACUUGGAGUAUCAAAAUUCGAAAACUUGACUUGAAACAAAAAGGGCUUCUAUUAAUUCUUCUAUUGGUAUUAUUCUGACUUUUCAAGCAAUAUUUCUUUUGCCAGCAGUUCUUUUUUUUUCCCUACCAGUAUUGAUUUUUCUAUCACGUUAUUGUUUUUACUUUUUCAAGCAUGUGAUGCAUGAUAAUUCUUGGCUUUGCUCACAAGUAAGAUCUUUCCAGUAGCCAAAGAUCCUUCUUGCAUUCAUUAAGUGCUGUUAUAGUGCAUAAUCAGAGGCAACAGAGAAUCCCUAUAGAUUAGGUAAAUAGAACCAUGAUCACUCCAGAAUAGAAUCAGCUGUAAAUAAUUAUAGAUGUAUUUGCAAUUCUUAUUGCUAUUUGUAUCUGACAAUAGAUUGGAAAAAAUAAUUACGAUAGUAUAUAUAAUUAUACCAUCCUAGAUCAUGCAGUCUAUUUUUAGCAAAAGGGAAGAUAUUUUUUUUUUCUCUAAGCUUAUCCAUUGUUUUUGUAAUAGGACGGGCACUUGUAUCAGUUGUGACGAGUGGAAGUAAAAGAUUGUUUUGUGUAACUGAUAGUGCUCCUCAUGUGAGAAGAAAAAUGGAGUGCUCUUGCGGAUGUGCUGGUAUUUCUAAUGUACCCAUAGCCUUUUCAGUUAAAGCAAAGAUUUUUGAAGAGGUAAUUUCUCUGGAAAUCUCCUUUUCCUAAUAUUGCAGAACUAUUGGAGUGAUUAGCAGGAUUCUAGUGUUGAUGUUAAAUUAUAGCAACAGAUCUUUCAAGUACUUUGUGCUAGUUUUGUGUUGUAGACAAUGUGAACCUGUUUUAUGUAAUGAUGUCACAGUGUAAAUAGUAUUGCUAGCUUGUUAAACACUUUCUUAAGCUGGCUUUGAUUGCACAUGUAAUUAUUAUUGUGGAACUUGGUUGCUUUCCUGUCAAGUGCUCACCUAAGGUUAAUGGGUUUGUCAUGCUUUUAUACGUCGAAAGCCGAAUUUCUGAAC
rnacentral:lncRNA from 1 species